rnacentral:tRNA from 1 species
GUGGGCGUAGCUCAGCUGGUAGAGCAUCGGACUGUGGCUCCGAACGCCGUGGGUUCAAAUCCCAUCGCCCACCCCA